AAUGAACGCUGGCGGCAGGCCUAACACAUGCAAGUCGAACGGAUCCUUCGGGAUUAGUGGCGGACGGGUGAGUAACGCGUGGGAACAUACCCUUUGGUACGGAAUAGCCUCGGGAAACUGGGAGUAAUACCGUAUGUGGUCGAGAGACGAAAGAUUUAUCGCCAAAGGAUUGGCCCGCGUUGGAUUAGGUAGUCGGUGGGGUAAUGGCCUACCAAGCCGACGAUCCAUAGCUGGUUUGAGAGGAUGAUCAGCCACACUGGGACUGAGACACGGCCCAGACUCCUACGGGAGGCAGCAGUGGGGAAUCUUAAACAAUGGGGGAAACCCUGAUCUAGCCAUGCCGCGUGAUCGAUGAAGGCCUUAGGGUUGUAAAGAUCUUUCAGGUGGGAAGAUAAUGACUGUACCACCAGAAGAAGCCCCGGCUAACUCCGUGCCAGCCGCCGCCGUAAGAC
rnacentral:rRNA from 1 species